CUUAGAGGAGGCACACAGCCAACACGUCCAGUUAACCAGGAUAAAUGAUUUAAAAGAACUUUGUAAAAAUGCUGAACAUAAUUUGCUAUCACCAAAUAUAGGAAUCUCUGAAGCCAGCUGUCUUGCUCAUAUGAAAUGCAAUGACAAGAUCCAAAUUGUGAGAAAAGGAAUCCAACUUGGUUGGAACAGGAAAGAAACAAAAACAAAGAACCUCUGGCCCAGAGUCAUUUCUGUUUGGAAAAAUUUCUGAAGAUUAAACUUAGGCCCUGAGUGCACCUAACAGUGCAAUCUGCAGGCUGCCAACGCGUAGCCGUGGAACUAAAUCCAGCAGCUCAAGUGUCCCAUCACAAUUUGAAAUCCAG
rnacentral:lncRNA from 1 species